AUUUAUUACGAUAAAUAAGUCUAGAUAUCAUAACAGAGACCCGUCAGCUUUCAAACCAAGAUUACACGGUGUGCCUUGCGACGCAGCCGGACUUCUGCAGCGUCGCGUACACCAAAAGCUCUGAGUUCCCCAACGACGACAGCUUCUCAUUAAGUGGAGAUCCGAGUGCUUAUCCUCCGGGUACUCCGCCUCCCGGGCUCGUCGGGACGACAUCCUGCACCACGGACUAUCUGACCAUCCCUGGGGCGGUCAUCACCGACUCGUGGUCCGUCCUGCCGCCGGGCUCCGUGGGUGACACUUUCUGCGGCAUGAAUUUCCCGGCCUCCGUAAAAAGCGCAGGUACUCAGCCCUUCAAGCUACACGUGAAAACCGACAGCACAGAAACGCCCACGGACGCGUACAACGUUGGAUUUUCUCUUGCCUAUUCUAUGAGAGCUUCUUGCUAAUUCAGUAAUUAUAGCGAGCAGCAUUUUGGUACCAUGAGCCGAUUCAAAUUUAAGUAGAGAACAUUUUCGAGAGAUUCCUGAUUGAUUU